rnacentral:tRNA from 1 species
AACAGAUAGCUUAUUUUAAAGCUUAGCACUGAAGAUGCUAUGAAGAUUAAAUUCUCUGUUAA